rnacentral:sRNA from 1 species
GAGAUCGAUUCAAUUAUUGGUCUUCUGCUGGUCAUGGUAUGCGUUCCCGUCUGUUGCCCGUGAUUGGUACGUCGAGUUUUGUUCUUCCGUACAUGACAUAUUCGUAUGGCAUCGCCAAUCACAUCCUACGAAACUCACCACACUGUCGAGCCAUAACAACGAAUUUCGGUAUCAAAUCGUAGUGACCUCUUCGGGCUACGUUUUUCACUAAUUUUCGGGUUUCUCUCUUACUUAAAGGCGUUCGUGUUGUUUUUACUUACAUCUUGGACGGAGCUGCUUUGUCGGUAGAUAAUACGGAUAGCAUAAUGCAUUUCAAGCGUACAUACAGUCAACAUAACAACCUCGAGACCCCGAACGAAAGAUCUCGCGAAAAACACCCAAAAGGAAUUAUAAAACAACAACCUCGCAAUCUCUUUUUUACAGUUUACCGAUACUUCUAUCUGCCUCGGCUUGAUAUAGACUCAAAUCGACCUUGCUCAACUUCAGACGAGAGAGGCACUGAAUGGUGGAUGGAGAGAGUGGGCGGAGGGAUAGAUUACUCAGAGUCGGAAGAAAACGAACAAGGAGAAGGAUGAGCGCGAAUAAAGGAGAUCUAACAAAUGCGAGCAUACGAGUGUCAGGACAUCAAUCUAUGCGGCCCAACUGAGGGAGACAGCUGCAAAAAUAAGAAAGACGAGCCUACCUUCCAGUCUUCUUUCUCUUCAUCAAAGAACACCUGAUGAAUAAUCUGGAACUUGGGGAACCAAUUAACAGGGAUCUUGGGGAUCAUGAUCAAGGCGAUCAAAGACUUACGCGAUCAUCCGUCUUCAUAGCCUUGAAAAGUUCCUCGGCAUCACGAGUACCCUUAUAUCUCUCAUGCCAAUCCUUUGAGGGUAAUCCAAAAGAAGUGGAAAAGGGAAUAGGACCGACAUUUUGAGAAGCCAAUCUGUCGAUCAUGUCUUCCCAAGCUCUCGAAUAAGUUGACGAAGAGGAGCUGAUAGAGGCGGUGGAGAUGGCAGAACUGUCAGAGGAGGUGGAGAGGGAGCGAAAGGAUUUGUGGCUGAGAUUCAUGGUAUGGAUAAAGUCGGAGGGCGUAAAAAGGGCGAGUGAAGGGCGAAUAGACUGGACAGACGUAUAAGUCGUCGUUGUGUGGUAAGAGGGGAAUGUUAUAUCGAGAGCCAGUGGCGCGUUCAGAUCAUAAAGUCAGAAGAGAAUAUGGAGAAGUUAGGGGCCAGCAGCUUGGUUUUUAUACCUCUUUUGAACCCUUACCAAUGGAUUCGGUCAAACGCCAUAUUGCCUCAACAGCUCCGAACUUGUUGAUUUCUUGUUGUAAUCACAAGAUGCCGGUAACAAACAUACCCUUUUCCCCACGCCAACUAUCGGGCAUCGAGAUUGUCUCGUACUGUUACAGGCAGGAGUGGUAUCUUUUUGAGAUUGCGUGCGUGGUGUGAUGGCUGAUGGAAGAUGAACGGAAGGCGAUGGGCGAUGAUAACCGUGGAAUGGCGGAUGAUGAUCAUUUUGCAAGCUCGAGAAUGAGACAGUCGCAUAUGUUCAGUGAGUUCCGUGAAGAACGGAAAAGGGGAUAAGGUGUGCCU